UGUGGCCUCAAAUCAGGUAGGACUACCCGCUGAACUUAAGCAUAUCAAUAAGCGGAGGAAAAGAAACUAACAAGGAUUCCCCUAGUAACUGCGAGUGAAGCGGGAAAAGCUCAAAUUUAAAAUCUGUCAGUCUUUGGCUGUCCGAGUUGUAAUCUAGAGAAGCGUUAUCCGCGUUGGACCGUGUACAAGUCUCCUGGAAUGGAGCGUCAUAGAGGGUGAGAAUCCCGUCUUUGACACGGACUACCAAGGCUUUGUGAUGCGCUCUCAAAGAGUCGAGUUGUUUGGGAAUGCAGCUCAAAAUGGGUGGUAAAUUCCAUCUAAAGCUAAAUAUUGGCGAGAGACCGAUAGCGAACAAGUACCGUGAGGGAAAGAUGAAAAGAACUUUGGAAAGAGAGUUAAACAGUACGUGAAAUUGCUGAAAGGGAAACGCUUGAAGUCAGUCGCGUUGUCCAGGGAUCAACCUUGCUUUUGCUUGGUGUACUUUCUGGUUGACGGGUCAGCAUCAAUUUUGACUGUUGGAAAAAGGUCAAGGGAAUGUGGCAUCUCUGGAUGUGUUAUAGCCCUUGGUUGCAUACAAUGGUUGGGAUUGAGGAACUCAGCACGCCGCAAGGCCGAGUAACUUUUACUACGUACGUGCUUAGGAUGCUGGCAUAAUGGCUUUAAUCGACCCGUCUUGAAACACGGACCAAGGAGUCUAACAUGCCUGCGAGUGUUUGGGUGGAAAACCCGAGCGCGUAAUGAAAGUGAAAGUUGAGAUCCCUGUCGUGGGGAGCAUCGACGCCCGGACCAGACCUUUUGUGACGGCUCCGCGGUAGAGCAUGUAUGUUGGGACCCGAAAGAUGGUGAACUAUGCCUGAAUAGGGUGAAGCCAGAGGAAACUCUGGUGGAGGCUCGUAGCGAUUCUGACGUGCAAAUCGAUCGUCAAAUUUGGGUAUAGGGGCGAAAGACUAAUCGANCCAUC
rnacentral:rRNA from 1 species